AGGGGCUCACCCACAAAAAUAGCUUCCAUGGAAUGGUCAGCCUAGCAGGAGCUGGGGGUUCUCCAUCAAGUGAAGAUGGGGACUAUGAGAUCUUACGGCAUCUCAAAGGGCAGAAGUCUGGACAGGAAGACCAGUUGCAUAGUGGAGGGAAGUAUCCUAACCUGGAUUAAAUAUAUGCUGAAUUCCUCUGUUUAUCCUAAAAGCUAAAUCCCUGAUAUAAACUUGCUUUUUCAUGUUUUUAUGAUUUAGCUUUAUUUUAGGGAUUUAACUUUAUUUUAACCAUGGGUUACUGAGAAUUUUUGUUAAAGUUUAAUGGCAUUGUGUACUCCUAUUCACUCUUCAGAAUCUCAGUUCAAUAUCACUUCCUCCAUGAAGCCUUCCUGAUUACUUUUUCCUUUCUUCCCUCAGGCCCUCCCAGUUAUUUCCCUCUCUAAGGAGCAUACUAUGUUUAAAUAAUUUGUUAACAUGAGCUACAGGGGGCAGGUGGUUGAGGGAGGGCUUUCUCUGUGAGUCUGCUUAUUAAGAAGCUGAGCUCCCAGUCCUUGCCUUGUGAUAAUAAUCAAGCCCCAUUACUUGAGAGCUCGCAGAGGGCAGAAAACAAGGGCUGCUUCACUGUUACAUGCACAGGCCAUGGCCUGAAACAAGGAAGGGAAGGAGGGAGAAAACAACGGGAGGACAAAUUCUAUAAACAGGUCAGAGGAGAGGGAGAGACAUUAUUUAUCAGCUUGGUGAUUUCAACUUAAUUCUGAGAAGACUUAAUCCAUGUCUGUUUCCCUCUGGUCUGUAAAACAAAAUGCCUCCUACAAUGUUUCUGAGUUGUUUCACAACUCAGGAAGACGAUAUUUCUCUUUGCCAUAAGACAAUACAUUUCCUAAACGUACUGUAGUGGGUAAGGGUAGGGUGGGAGUUUAAAAAAGAAAAUCAGUCAGCAGCUAUGAAGAGCCAAAAGGACACAGUGUCAGAUCUGUGGAAAUUGAACCUAAGGAUAGAUCUGAGACCAACAAGAGUUAAAUGGUCAACUCCACUCAACAUUUGCUGAGUCUCUAUUCUGUGGGCCCUAAUAGAAAGUCACCAAAACAGUUCUUGAGGGGUCAGGACCUAUUGCUGAGAGUGGCAAGUCAGGAGUAAAGCAAAAAGAGGGCAGGACUGGCCUCAUGUCCAGUUGCACAGCCCUGGUUGUGCCAUGUCUCUGGGCUGGGAGACAGCUGCCUGGCCACUGGCCCUUGGGCCAUUAAAAACACAGGGCCACAGAAGGAGCAGGCAGGGCUCAUAUCUGGGGGAUUAGCUCCAUCUGCCCUGAGUGCAGUGGAAACCGUGCAUCCUUCCUCUUCCCUGGGCCUCAUCCUGGUGCCUGCCCCCAGCAGUCCCUGGCAGCCUCAUGUCCACCUGGCCAUGAUGUCAGGUCUAUUUAAGCCAGGGACCUGGUGAUCCUUUCCACAGCCCACUGGGAAGGCCUAUGUGUUGCUGAAAAACAAAUAAACCAACAGCUCUCUGUCACCAUGGGUUCUACAGACCUGGGGAUACACGGCAAAGGCCUGUCGUGGAGGUUGUAACUCUUUGUCCUUUAGGAUUCCCAAGGUAGACCACGUGUGUGCCAGCCCAGCAGGCAAACUGCCCCGUAUGAGUUUGUCCAUCAACUGUGCGUGCAGAUCUUUACUCGCAUGCAUGACACAGGAAGCCCACGGGACACUUCCCCAGCACGCCCCGCUUCCUCUGCACUCCUGGAAGGAAGACCUGUUCUUGCUUCUUCCGUACUCUCAGGAUCUGGCACAGAACCCGACAAAGGAAAUAUUUAAUGAACUAUGGCGUAGGCCUGGCCCUGAACGACACCCUGGGGACCCAGCAGCAGCAAGGUGCAGCUUCUGCCCUCAGCAACCUCACGGUCUAAUGGACGCGGCACAGUGGGCAGGAAGUGACACCAAAGAGCAUCAGGAUUAGGAAGUCUGUUCGGAUUAGCAUGGAAUCAGAGUCUCCCUGCCCUGGGAAUCAUUGCUGGCCAUGGCAGUUGCUGAGACUGGGAGCUAAAAGGUGCAUCUGAGUUGGAGUCUUGUCAUGUUCCUUCAGACUCUCUGGAGCAGCCCAGCUUCCCAGAACUGAGAUCACUAAACCAAGAAGAGGAGGCACCUUGGACCUGGGUAAAGGCUCCUUUCCAAGCUACUGCACAAAGAGGCCCAGGAGAAAUCAAAAGAUCAUGGACUGUUUUUGCUAUUGCAUGUGUUCCACCUUCAGUAUGGACUGUUGCCCUCCUUGCAGAUGUCGAGAUGGAACCUCACCAGGGCUUCCUUCUGAAAUGAAACUUCCAGAAAGCAGCAGACAGACCACAGAACAUCCUUCCUAGAAAAAGAAAAGCCGUCUGUAGACCAGCAACAGCUCUGAUCACAUGACUGCAAGCAAGGUUUCCAAAGAAAUCAAAAUGAUAGCUUGAAGAAUGAGCAUUGACAAUUUCUUUGUAGAAAGAU
rnacentral:lncRNA from 1 species